AAGAACCUACGGGGGGCAGCAGUGGGGGAUAUUGCACAAUGGAGGAAACUCUGAUGCAGCGACGCCGCGUGAGGGAAGACGGUCUUCGGAUUGUAAACCUCUGUCUUUGGGGACGAAAAUGACGGUACCCAAAGAGGAAGCUCCGGCUAACUACGUGCCAGCAGCCGCGGUAAUACGUAGGGAGCGAGCGUUGUCCGGACUUAUUGGGUGUAAAGGGAGCGUAGGCGGGCGAGAAAGUUGAAUGUUAAAUCUACCGGCUUAACUGGUAGCUGCGUUCAAAACUUCUUGUCCU
rnacentral:rRNA from 1 species